rnacentral:rRNA from 1 species
AAGGAAUAUUGGACAAUGGCGGCAACGCUGAUCCAGCUAUCCCGCGUGCAGGAUGAAGGGGCUACGCCUUGUAAACUGCUUUAGACUGAGACGAAAAAAUGGGAUUUAUCCUAUAUUGACGGUAUCAGUAGAAUAAGCACCGGCUAACUCCGUGCCAGCAGCCGCGGUAAUACGGAGGGUGCAAGCGUUAUCCGGAAUCACUGGGUAUAAAGGGUGCGUAGGCGGCUUGUUAAGUCAGGAGUGAAAGGCCACAGCUUAACUGUGGGAUUGCUUUUGAUACUGGCGAGCUUGGAUUAGGACGAGGUUGGCGGAAUGUGGCAAGUAGCGGUGAAAUGCAUAGAUAUGCCAUAGAAUACCGAUUGCGAAGGCAGCUGACUAGACCUAUAUUGACGCUGAGGCACGAAAGCGUGGGGAGCGAAC